UAGUAAAUACAAUAUUCAUACAUGUGUAAAUGUGAUAUAAAAUACACAUAUUAGGGUAGUAUUUCCCAUUUGUAAUUUUUCUAAUAAUAAAAAAAUGUAUGUACAAAAAAAAAAUAUAAACAUACAAAGAAGUUGGGUUAGGCUUCAAUAUAUAUUUGAACCGCCAGUGAAAUAUAGUGUAAUAAGGAGUGGAAAUAUCAACACCGUUUCAAUAUAUUCUGAAUAGUGAAAACCAAACUAUAAAUAUAUUCACGUUAGACACAAGAUACCGAAGAAAAAAAAAAUACUUUCUACUAUUUCUUUUGUCUAUGUAAGAAAGUAUGUUAACAACAUCUUCUUUACGCAUGGAGACAGAUCUUUAAAGAAGAGUUUUGUGAAUCUACCAUUUGCCUCUCACCA
rnacentral:lncRNA from 1 species